AUUGAACGCUGGCGGCAUGCCUUACACAUGCAAGUCGAACGGUAACAGGUCUUCGGAUGCUGACGAGUGGCGAACGGGUGAGUAAUACAUCGGAACGUGCCUACUAGUGGGGGAUAACUACUCGAAAGAGUGGCUAAUACCGCAUGAGAUCUACUGAUGAAAGCAGGGGAUCGCAAGACCUUGUGCUACUAGAGCGGCCGAUGGCAGAUUAGGUAGUUGGUGGGAUAAAAGCUUACCAAGCCGACGAUCUGUAGCUGGUCUGAGAGGACGAUCAGCCACACUGGGACUGAGACACGGCCCAGACUCCUACGGGAGGCAGCAGUGGGGAAUUUUGGACAAUGGGCGCAAGCCUGAUCCAGCAAUGCCGCGUGCAGGAUGAAGGCCUUCGGGUUGUAAACUGCUUUUGUACGGAACGAAAAGCCCUGGGUUAAUACCCUGGGGUCAUGACGGUACCGUAAGAAUAAGCACCGGCUAACUACGUGCCAGCAGCCGCCGUAACAC
rnacentral:rRNA from 1 species